CGGGAUAUAGCAUAGUCAGGUAGUGUGCUUGCUUUGGGAGCAAGAUGUCACAGGUUCGAAUCCUGUUAUCCCGA
rnacentral:tRNA from 1 species